GGGGAAUUUUCCGCAAUGGGCGCAAGCCUGACGGAGCAAGACCGCGUGCGGGAGGACGGCCUAUUGGUUGUAAACCGCUUUUGUUAGGGAAGAAGUUCUGACGGUACCUAUGGAAUCAGCAUCGGCUAACUCCGUGCCAGCAGCCGCGGUAAUACGGAGGAUGCAAGCGUUAUCCGGAAUUAUUGGGCGUAAAGCGUCCGUAGGUGGUUGUUCAAGUCUGCUGUUAAAGCGUGCGGCUUAACCGCAUACCGGCAGUGGAAACUGGGCGACUAGAGUGCGGUAGGGGUCGGGGGAAUUCCCAGUGUAGCGGUGAAAUGCGUAGAUAUUGGGAAGAACACCGGUGGCGAAAGCGCCUUACUGG
rnacentral:rRNA from 1 species